rnacentral:rRNA from 1 species
AUUGAACGCUGGCGGCAGGCCUAACACAUGCAAGUCGAGCGAGCGGCGGACGGGUGAGUAAUGUAUGGGGAUCUGCCUGAUGGCGGGGGAUAACUACUGGAAACGGUAGCUAAUACCGCAUACCAUCAGAUGAACCCCUAUGUGAUUAGCUUGUAGGUGAGGUAACGGCUCAAGUAGGCGACGAGCCCAUGCUGUUCUGAGAGGAUGAUCAGCCACACUGGGACUGUGACACGGCCCAUACUCCUACGGGAGGCAGCAGUGGGGAAUAUUGCACAAUGGGCGCAAGUCUGAUGCAGCCAUGCCGCGUGUAUGAAGAGGGCCUUCGGGUUGUACAGUACUUUCAGUCGGGAGGCGUUACCGACAGAAGAAGCACCGGCUAACUCCGUGCCAGCAGCCGCGGUAAGUC